rnacentral:rRNA from 1 species
UAGGAAAUCUUCGGCAAUGGGGGCAACCCUGACCGAGCAACGCCGCGUGAGUGAAGAAGGUUUUCGGAUCGUAAAGCUCUGUUGUAAGUCAAGAACGAGUGUGAGAGUGGAAAGUUCACACUGUGACGGUAGCUUACCAGAAAGGGACGGCUAACUACGUGCCAGCAGCCGCGGUAAUACGUAGGUCCCGAGCGUUGUCCGGAUUUAUUGGGCGUAAAGCGAGCGCAGGCGGUUUGAUAAGUCUGAAGUUAAAGGCUGUGGCUCAACCAUAGUUCGCUUUGGAAACUGUCAAACUUGAGUGCAGAAGGGGAGAGUGGAAUUCCAUGUGUAGCGGUGAAAUGCGUAGAUAUAUGGAGGAACACCGGUGGCGAAAGCGGCUCUCUGGUCUGUAACUGACGCUGAGGCUCGAAAGCGUGGGGAGCGAACAGGAUUAGAUACCCUGGUAGUCCACGCCGUAAACGAUGAGUGCUAGGUGUUGGAUCCUUUCCGGGAUUCAGUGCCGCAGCUAACGCAUUAAGCACUCCGCCUGGGGAGUACGACCGCAAGGUUG